rnacentral:ncRNA from 1 species
AUAAAAUUGAUGACGAGAAGAGUAAGCUAGGAAGACUGUUCCCCAGAGAGCCGGCAGAUGGUGAAAGCCGGUGUCCAGUGCCUAUCCGAAAAUCAUCUCCGAGAUGCAAAGCUGAAGUAAAAGUAAGCUUUGACGGGAUUUCCGCCGUUACAAGGAAGACGUAUGUUUGUACGUUGACUGAGCGCCGCAAUCAUCUUUGAUGUUGCGGAAUAAGGGUGGUAACGCGAGUUCAUUAACUCGUCCCUGUA